rnacentral:lncRNA from 1 species
AUAAAAAAUUAAUCGCUAUUAGUGAUAUAACUAUUAAACUUAACAAAAUUAUCACUUAAAUGAAAUAACUCGAAUUAAAAAAAGGCUAAAUUACAGAAAAAACUCCUGUAAUAUCCCGCUUUUUCACUUUCCCCCCUUGACAUUUAAAAACCUACACUUUGUCCCCUCGUAAAAUGAAAAAUGUUCACAGGGGGGUUACGGUGUGUAAAAUGAUCAUUUUGCCCCUCGCCAUUUUCGUCUUCUUCCUCAUCUUCCUCAGCCGCCCCUUCGAUCGGCCGCGAUUCCCACCUCAAUCGGUCGCGAUUUCUCUCCAUUUCCUUCUCCACCUACUCCCCUUCUCCUCCUGCACCCUCGCCGCUUCUCGAUUUCGACGAUAGUAGGGAGGAAAUCGAGGUGGGUGUUGAUGAAGAGGUAGGCAAGGGCAACGAGGGCGAAGGGCAGGCGGCGGAGGAGGGUGAAGAGGAUGUGGGCGAGGGCGAGGCAGUGGAGGACGGCGAGGCGGCGAGCCGGAGGGAGGCGAAGCAACAAGGAAGAGGGCGGAGGGGUAUUUUCGGCAUAAAAAAAUAUUUUAUAACGGAAUCCUAACGGUAGGGGGUGAAGUGCACAUUUUUCAUUUUACAAGGGGGCAAAGUGUAGGUUUUUAAAUGUCAGGGGGGGAAGUGAAAAAGCUGGUUAUUACAGGGGGUUUUCUGUAAUUUAGCCUUAAAAAAAUAGAUGUCAAUUGUAGCAUCAGUCAAAAAAUUAAAAUAUAACUAAGGCUAAAUUACAGAAAAUUUCCUUGUCAAUACCUGCUUUUUCACUUUCCGUCCCUGUCAUUUAAAAACCUACACUUUGCCCCUUGAAAAAUGAGAAAUGUUCACUUUGGUCCCCUGCUGUCAGUAUUCUAUUAGGGUUCCAUUUUGUUUGAGAUAAAAAAAAAAAGAAAAAGGUUCAAAAUUCAAAUUGAAAAUAUAGAAGGAAGGAAAUAGGGAAAGGAAAGAUUCAAAAGAAAAAAAGGAGGAAAGUAUUCAAAAAUAAAACAAA